CAACAAAAUGUGGAAAUGUUGAAUUAUAAUCUUCGUAAAAUCUGAACAGCUACGUUUAUAACAAAGACUUCAGAGCUCAAAGUUCAUGGAUCCUUUUCUGUAUUUUAAUGUCGAAUGUCAAACAAUUUUAAGUAUGCAUAUUUAAAUUGUAGAACGGAUAUAUUUUGCACAUACAGUGAAUUAGUAGCAACCUAUUAAAAAGUACACGCUAGAAAUCAGGAUGACACCUAACAUAUAAGGAAUCACAAUUGUUCUUAGUCAACAUACGACAUAGUUAGCAAUAGCCCAACUACUUUUCUGGAUGGGUACGCCUGUUUUGAUCCGGGGAUGCACAAAUUAUGCAUGACCUUGGUGUAACGUAUGGUGUCUUGUGUGUCAAUAAGCGGAUACACUGCCUUCCUCUUCAUGAAGGUCUCUGAGUGGUAGCCCUUCGGAUAAGAUAGUUACCCGUCCUGACUUUCUAGCAUCCACCAUGGCCCUAACAUUUGUAUCAUCUAUAAUCCAAUAAAACCUCGUGAUUGUGUAAGCUCCAACAUGGCCAAAAACCAAUAAUGCGAAGAGAUGUGUAGUGCAACUUCUCGAAGGCCAGCUGACGUAAGUAGCAGUAUCCAAUUUUGUGUGGAUUUAGGUGUUCAAGACUCCGCAUCCCUCUUAGAUAUUCUCGGCCAUAAUUACUCUCUGAAAUCUGGCCUCCAAAUCAUUGUUCAUAAGUAGCAUUGUCAUCCAUGGAAUCCUAGCUAGGUAAUUGGAUCCGCAUAGAAUAGAUUUAGUUCAUCUAUGAAAUCGAGUAAUAAAAGCUCAAUAUACCAACAACAUAUUGAAUAUUUAACGAAAACUAGCCCGAGAAAUUGACUAACACACAGAAAUACUCGAUUAACAAAAAUCUUGACCUUAAUGUUGGGGUCAGUAUCGGGGAUUAUAGAGGGGAGAAAUGAUACAU
rnacentral:lncRNA from 1 species